rnacentral:sRNA from 1 species
UUUUGCAGCCCUCUUUGGGCGUUUCCUCCCUAGACUUGGGCCGCUGACGCUUCCGCGCGCGGCCCUUUUUCUUUUGCACG